GCUAGUGUGGCCUAGUGGUUUGAGCAUUGGACUACAACCCUGGAGGCUAGGGUUCAGUUCCCGGCUCUGCCA